rnacentral:rRNA from 1 species
CAAUAAGCGGAGGAAAAGAAACCAACAGGGAUUGCCCUAGUAACGGCGAGUGAAGCGGCAACAGCUCAAAUUUGAAAUCUGGCUCCUUCGGGGUCCGAGUUGUAAUUUGCAGAGGGUGCUUUGGCGUUGGCGGCGGUCUAAGUUCCUUGGAACAGGACAUCACAGAGGGUGAGAAUCCCGUACGUGGUCGCCUGCCUUCGCCGUGUAAAGCCCCUUCGACGAGUCGAGUUGUUUGGGAAUGCAGCUCUAAAUGGGAGGUAAAUUUCUUCUAAAGCUAAAUACCGGCCAGAGACCGAUAGCGCACAAGUAGAGUGAUCGAAAGAUGAAAAGCACUUUGGAAAGAGAGUCAAACAGCACGUGAAAUUGUUAUAAGGGAAGCGCUUGCAGCCAGACUUGCCUGUAGUUGCUCACCUGGGCUUUUGCCCGGGGCACUCUUCUGCAGGCAGGCCAGCAUCAGUUUGGGCGGUCGGAUAAAGGCCUCUGACACGUACUUCCUUUCGGGGUUGACAUAUAGGGGAGGCGUAAUGCGACCAGCCUGGACUGAGGUCCGCGCAUCUGCUAGGAUGCUGGCGUAAUGGCUGUAAGCGGCCCGUCUUGAAACACGGACCAAGGAGUCUAACAUCUAUGCGAGUGUUUGGGUGUCAAGCCCGAGCGCGUAAUGAAAGUGAACGGAGGUGGGAACCCCUCGGGGCGCACCAUCGACCGAUCCUGAUGUCUUCGGAUGGAUUUGAGUAAGAGCAUAGCUGUUGGGACCCGAAAGAUGGUGAACUAUGCUUGAAUAGGGUGAAGCCAGAGGAAACUCUGGUGGAGGCUCGCAGCGGUUCUGACGUGCAAAUCGAUCGUCAAAUUUGGGCAUAGGGGCGAAAGACUAAUC